GACGGAGGGUGCAAGCGUUGUUCGGAAUUACUGGGUGUAAAGGGUUCGUAGGCGGUGCGGCAAGUUGGGAGUGAAAUCUCUGGGCUCAACCCAGAGGCUGCUUCCAAAACUGCUGUGCUUGAGUGUGGGAGAGGCGCGUGGAAUUGCAGGUGUAGCGGUGAAAUGCGUAGAUAUCUGCAGGAACACCCGUGGCGAAAGCGGCGCGCUGGACCACAACUGACGCUGAGGAACGAAAGCUAGGGGAGCAAACAGG
rnacentral:rRNA from 1 species